UACGUAGGGUGCUAGCGUUAAUCGGAAUUACUGGGCGUAAAGCGUGCGCAGGCGGUUUGCUAAGACCGAUGUGAAAUCCCCGGGCUUAACCUGGGAACUGCAUUGGUGACUGGCAGGCUAGAGUAUGGCAGAGGGGGGUAGAAUUCCACGUGUAGCAGUGAAAUGCGUAGAGAUGUGGAGGAAUACCGAUGGCGAAGGCAGCCCCCUGGGCCAAUACUGACGCUCAUGCACGAAAGCGUGGGGAGCAAACAGG
rnacentral:rRNA from 1 species